rnacentral:rRNA from 1 species
GAUAAACGCUGGCGGCGUGCCUAACACAUGCAAGUCGAACGUCCUGCUCUUUCGGGGGCAGGGAGUGGCGGACGGGUGAGGAACGCGUGGGUACCUACCCUCAGGUGAGGGAUACCGGCGAGAAAUCGCCGACAAGACCGCAUAGGCUCUCUUCGGACGAGGAGAGCAAAGUCGCAAGACGCCUGGGGAUGGGCCUGCGUCCGAUUAGCUGGCUGGUGGGGUAAGAGCCUACCAGGGCGACGAUCGGUAGCUGGUCUGAGAGGACGAUCAGCCACAC